rnacentral:rRNA from 1 species
GUAGGUGGCAAGCGUUGUCCGGAAUUAUUGGGCGUAAAGCGCGCGCAGGCGGGUCCUUUAAGUCUGAUGUGAAAGCCCACGGGCUCAACCGUGGAGGGUCAUUGGAAACUGGGGGACUUGAGUACAGAAGAGGAAAGCGGAAUUCCAAGUGUAGCGGUGAAAUGCGUAGAGAUUUGGAGGAACACCAGUGGCGAAGGCGGCUUUCUGGUCUGUAACUGACGCUGAGGCGCGAAAGCGUGGGGAGCAAACAGGAUUAGAUUCCCUGGUAGUCCACGCCGUAAACGAUGAGUGCUAAGUGUUAGGGGGUUUCCGCCCCUUAGUGCUGCAGCUAACGCAUUAAGCACUCCGCCUGGGGAGUACGGCCGCAAAGGCUG